AAAAUAUCGAUGAAGUUGCGACGUGAUGAAGUUUUGUAUUUUGGUUUUAUUGUAUGUACUAAUUGAAAAACAAUGCUAUUCUUGGUGCAUUUAUUACGAAAAGCAAGUGCCCUUUCCAUUUGGUUGUUACUAUGGAGGAGACUACAUACCGAAUGAACAAACAAAAGUGAUAAAUUGUAUGAGUUGUUUCUGCAGACACAGUGGACUACUUAGGUGUUGUCCGACGAGGGGCACAAUGAACGGCGAAGAAUGUCGACAAAAGCCAGUUAAAAUGCUGCAUCGAAUUAUGUAUAAAGAACUGAAAAACAUACAUAGAUAUGGCGGUGG